rnacentral:rRNA from 1 species
UACGUAGGGGGCAAGCGUUGUUCGGAAUUAUUGGGCGUAAAGCGCGUGUAGGCGGCUUUGCAAGUCGGGUGUGAAAGCCCUCAGCUCAACUGAGGAAGUGCGCCCGAAACUGCAGAGCUUGAGUGCCGGAGAGGGUAGCGGAAUUCCCCAAGUAGAGGUGAAAUUCGUAGAUAUGGGGAGGAACACCGGUGGCGAAGGCGGCUACCUGGACGGUGACUGACGCUGAGACGCGAAAGCGUGGGUAGCAAACAGG